GACGAACGCUGGCGGCGUGCUUAAUACAUGCAAGUCGAGCGGGGUUACUGCGACAGAUCCCUUCGGGGUGACGUUGCUUUAACCUAGCGGCGGACGGGUGAGUAACGCGUGGGUAACCUACCCUAAAGCUCGGGAUAACAGUGGGAAACCGCUGCUAAUACCGGAUGACUUUAACCUAUGGCAUCAUGGGUUAAAGAAAGAUUUAUCGCUUUAGGAUGGGCCCGCGUCCCAUUAGCUAGUUGGUGAGGUAACGGCUCACCAAGGCGACGAUGGGUAGCCGGCCUGAGAGGGUGUACGGCCACACUGGGACUGAGACACGGCCCAGACUCCUACGGGAGGCAGCAGUAGGGAAUAUUGCGCAAUGGACGGAAGUCUGACGCAGCGACGCCGCGUGAGCGAUGAAGGCCUUCGGGUCGUAAAGCUCUGUCCUUGGGGAAGAAGGUCUUCGGACUUGACGGUACCCAAGAAGAAAGCCCCGGCUAACUACGUGCCAGCAGCCGCGGUAAUACGUAGGGGGCGAGCGUUGUCCGGAAUUACUGGGCGUAAAGGGUGCGUAGGCGGCCCUUUAAGUCAGAUGUGAAAGGCCACGGCUUAACCGUGGGAUUGCAUUUGAAACUGGAGGGCUUGAGUGUCGGAGAGGGUAGUGGAAUUCCCAGUGUAGCGGUGAAAUGCGUAGAUAUUGGGAGGAACACCAGUGGCGAAGGCGACUACCUGGACGAUAACUGACGCUGAGGCACGAAAGCUAGGGGAGCAAACAGGAUUAGAUACCCUGGUAGUCCUAGCCGUAAACGAUGGGUACUAGGUGUAGGUGGUUUCGAUACCAUCUGUGCCGGAGUUAACGCAAUAAGUACCCCGCCUGGGGAGUACGUGCGCAAGCAUGAAACUCAAAGGAAUUGACGGGGGCCCGCACAAGCGGUGGAGCAUGUGGUUUAAUUCGAAGCAACGCGAAAANCUUACAGGCCUUGACAUCCCUGACCGUCAUGGAACAUGGCUUCUCUCCGAGCAGGAGACGGUG
rnacentral:rRNA from 1 species